rnacentral:rRNA from 1 species
AAUGAACGUUGGCGGCGUGGAUUAGGCAUGCAAGUCGAGCGAGAACCGUAGCAUUACGGGGACAGCGGCGCAAGGGACAGUAAUGUGUAGAUCAUCUGCCCUCAGGUCCGGGAUAGCUGCGGGAAACUGCAGGUAAUACCGGAUAACAUCUCCGGAUCAAAGGUGUGAUUCCGCCUGAGGAUGAGUCUGCAUCCUAUUAGCUAGUUGGUAGGGUAAUGGCCUACCAAGGCUUUGAUGGGUAGCGGGUGUGAGAGCACGACCCGCGUCAUUGGGACUGAGACACUGCCCAGACACCUACGGGUGGCUGCAGUCGAGAAUCUUCGGCAAUGGGCGCAUGCCUGACCGAGCGACGCCGCGUGUGGGAUGAAGGCCUUCGGGUUGUAAACCACUGUCAGAGGGGAUGAAAUGCAGGUGGGUUCUCCCAUCUGUUUGACAUAGCCUCAGAGGAAGGACGGGCUAAGUUCGUGCCAGCCGCCGCCGUAACAC